CUUCGUUUUCCACUUUCAUCUCCCUUAUCGGCAUUUAAUUCAGCUAUUUUUCAGUGUCCUUAGCUGUACUUACCUGCAUUCCCCUCUGUUAUCUGUGCACGAUUUAUUAAUUAAGAGAAAAAGACGGUAGGUAAUGGUUUGUAGGGGGGAAGGGGGUAGUUCGUCACACCUGUUUACCUCUGUGAUCAUUCAUAUUCCCCGACACCACAGGUAAUAGUUGUGUAUAGCCUAUCUACAUGUUCCAUUAUCAUUAGGGUAUGCAUAGUGCGUUUAUUAAGGCCCUGUUGAUGAGAAAUUGAGUAUAAUAACGUAAGGAGGCAAGUGAGUGAGAAGGAGAGCGCGAGAAGUGGUAGUUACCUUAUUUUUCUUUUUAUCGCUCGUCUCACUCCCGUCUGGCCGCCAUGUCUGCCUUCCCUCCCGCCAAGUCUCGAGUGUUAUCCGAGUAUAUUCUUCCCAUUCUUACGUGUCCAUGUGUUUACUUACCUGCAUGCUCUUCUUGAUGGGUGCAUGGUGUGUUGGUAAAGGUCGUGGUUAUGGUGAAUCAAAUACGGAGAAGAGGACGUGAGAAAAUAUCGUGGUGUGCAGUGGGCGGCGGGGUUGGGGCGGCUCGGGGUGGCGGUGGUCAAUCCUGUGGCGGCGUUGAAUCUCAUUUGUAUCACGUUUACCCCUUACCUGUUCCUGUUCAUCUUUUUUCAAUUGGAGUGUGCAGUUAUAGCCCAUUCACCCAUCCUUACUUACCUACCUUACAUUACAGUACAGUGCGUAUGGUUAUAGAGGUUCUGUCAAGGUAGAUCCUAUAGAAACACGUGAACUGAGUGACUUGAGAUGAUGGGGUAGGUGAUGGUGGUGUUGGUUGUGGUAAUAUAUCCUUGUGCCUUUCUUACUUCUUUAGCGGUUCUUCGUUAGCCUACUUGAAUUCAUGUGCUGUGUCAGAGAAGCUUAAUGUUAUUUAUGUAGAUUUAGUCGCCUCCUCCUCCUCCUCCUUGAAGUAUGUAUGCAUUGUAUGUUUAUCAAGGCUCUGUUUGUGAUACGAGAUAAAGAAAACGAGAGGAAAUGAAGAAGGGGAAGGUGGAAGGAGGAGGAGGACUGUUCGUUUGCCAGUCUGCCAGAUAUAUUUUGCUUUACAUAUCCGAGCUUAUAUUAGUUACCCUUACGUGUUCUUCUGCUCACUUACCUACAUCCUCUUCCUUCACCCGUAGCCAAGCCUGUGCGUUACGGAUUCAUACGAGAUAGUUAAGCAUGAAACAAAUUAGAGAAAGGAAAGAUAAAUGUAGAUACUUGUUAAAUCAUCGUGUCAAGUGUAACGAGGAAAGGGAAAGUAGACUCGUUAGUAUGAAUUACCAGCUUUAUUUAGUUGUAUUUAUUGUUUUCAUUUACUUACACUGGAAUAUUAUCGACCAUUUAUACUUGUACGAGAUUCAUUUAUGUGGGUUUAAGUGGAAUUGGUUUAAAUAGGCUAGUCUCUCUCUCUCUCUCUCUCUCUCUCUCUCUCUCUCUCUCUCUCGUGCUGGGGGGGGCGAAUCAAAGUCUCUCGGUACAGUGUUUUUGGUUUAUUACAAAGACACGGAUACAGCCGUUCGCCUACUGUUAUAAUAAUGCUUAGUGAUGGUGGAACGGAAGAAACCAAGCGGGGCGCAGUGGGGGAAGGAGAAUAAUAAUAAUGAAUAAAGACGCGACGACACAUAGGAGAGGGAAGGAAGGAUAAGGAAAGGGAAGGACAAGGAAGGGAAAGAAAGAGGAGAGGGAAGGAAGGAAGGAUGAGGAAAGGGAAGGGAAGGGGGAGAGAGAUGAUAAACCAGAUGCAAUAAAUAAUUAAUGAAUAGUUCGUAAUGAUAUAAUCGAUAAAUAAUGUAAAGAUUCACAACACCAGACAUUAUUAUUAUUAUUAUUAUUAUUAUUAGUAUUAGUAUUAAUGUUAUUAUCAUUAAGUAUUAUUAUAAUAUUACAUUAUUAUGAAAUUUUUGUCGUCUUUAGAUAGCCUCCGUGAGAUGAUUGUUUAAGGGACGUUGGCCGCCUGCCCCUUGCUGUCCCUUUAAAGGACACACGCACGCACGCACGUACGCACACGACUCAUUGCUUUGCACGCAUCUCGCAUUUUCCCAGUUGUGUCUUUUAUCGGUUUGCUUACAACGGAGAUCAGCACCGAGGCUAUCGCGUAGGCCUUUGAUCUAACUUUACUAAUUGAUGUAACGUUUUGUUAGCAUCUUGAAAUUACGUUUAUUUAGUUAACAAUUAUAGCAUUUUGAUUUUUGCUAACAUGAUGAAAUGACGUUUUUUUUUUACAAGUUUGCGUUGGGGAGGAGCUCCAUCUUUAUCCUAACAUUCUGAAAUAACUCAUUGCCAGAGUUAAUAUAUACGUUAAGAAUCACAUCUUUUUCUGCGGGAAUGUAGGAAUAAUUAGUCAAUCUAUUUACAUUUAAAAAUCAGCUUCUUUCAGGCUAACAUAUUGGAAUAAGUUUUAUUUCUCCUCUUAUUUAUGCAUGAGUCGUGUAUGUUUUUAUCGCAUUUACACUUUUUUUUUUUAAAUCGAUGUGAUUUUUUUUCUUUUGAAAUAUAUAAUAGUUAAUUUUUACAUUUUCCAUUUCUAGUCUGUUUCCGUAAGCUUCUCUCAUCCCCGCUUCCUUUGUUUGAUGCACGCUCGUAUUACGAGGCUGGAAACUUUCCCACCACAGUUACAUUUUCCUGAGUUUGGCAGAACACGCGGACACUUUUCUCGUUUAGUACUUCUUGUAAUACCUUUCUUGUUCGCCUCGUCCCCCGCGACUCACAAUGGAUCUUUACAUGAAGUUUCGCGGUAACUUUAUAAACAGACCAUGACGGAAGCGAUAAACCUUCAUUUAAAAGCCGCGCUAGCCAGUCUGUCUCCCUUUAAACAGUACAGAGGCGUCGCGGGGGUUGCGUAAGUGGGUGAGCGUGCGUGUAUGCGUGUGUGACCUAUUUCAAGGGGAACACCGGGGAGGGGCCGAGGAUUGGGGGCCAGACAUCGCGUUUAGAGGCCGGGCCCGCCACCGUGUCCGUCUGUCUUACAUUAGAUUUGUAAAACGGUGAGGCCGAGGUCGAUGGUCUGGCGGCCAGCUCGUGUCAGGGGCUCGCGAUGCAUCACUGCACAAGGGUUGCCGCGGUGACUAGCAGGACAAUUUGUGUCUGACAGUUCACGUAACGACAGGUCGGGACAUUGUUUUUACUAAUAUUUUUUUGCCAUUAUUUUUACAGUAAAGGAGGCAGCUCAAGGGCAAAAAGUAAAUGAGUACCAAAAAGCUCACUAAUCACUGCUCCUAUGUAAGAAAAUAUUAAUGAAUGGCCAAAAGAGAGGUCAAUAUCGGGUGGAGAGUGUCUUCAUACUCUCCCCCUAUUUUUUUACCUCUAUUCUUUACUUUUAUUCCUUUCACCAUUAUUUUUUAACCAUUUUCUAGUAGUAAUUUUUUAGAUAUUCAAGUUUUUUUUUCCAUAACAUUCUAAUUACAGGUACACUAUAUAGGAAUAACUAUUUAAGCGGAUAGGGACAUGAUGCUUAUUUACCUGUGUCUGGUAGUGAUUUUCUUAAGGUAUGGAAAAUUUUAACUACUUUUUGGGAUAACUAUUGUGCGGUGAGGUCACGAGACUUGAGACCCAAGCUGGCCGUAUGCCCCGUCAACACAGGCUCUCAAAAUGGGUGUGAGGCGAAGGGUGGGACGAGGCAGACCGUCGAUGGGCGAAUAUUUGGUCCGAGAAACAGAGGGUACGUGGCGCCCCUCGCGGCCUGCCUGGUGAAGCCCUUCUGCCCCGCCCUUCGUGUCGGCUCUUAUAAUAAACCACAUUUUUGCUCCAUUUAAACUUAGCGUACUUACUCUUCAUCGUGCUAAUGGCCAUACUAAUCAAACCUUAAUUAAUACAUAUUUUUUAGCAUUUACUUAACAACACUCAAUCCAGAUCGAUGAAAACCGAUUGCAACCGAUGGAUAAUAAUGUGAUUUUUUAAAAUUUAUUUAGCGUGAUUUUUGUUAUUGUAUUUUUUUUUUUUACAAGACGAAAAGGAGGUGUUGAAGGAGCUAUUUUCUGACACCGGCCUUCGACUGAUUCCGUUUCCAAUAGCUUGGCAGCGAGAGUGAGUGAGUGGAGGUGCAGGUGAGAACAAGAAACAGCGAUCAGCCUUACCUUAAAAAUCUCCUUGUGACUCUCGUAGCUCCCUUCCGCGCGGUGUCCACUCUCCUCCCCCUUCUCCCCGCCUCUCCUUCAACCCCUUGCUGUGACUCCUCGCGGGGAAAGGACGCCACGAGGUCACAAGGAGGUCAGGCUGGUCAAUGUUUCAUGUCCUCCGCUGCACCGGUGACGUGAGGCAGAGGUGGGCUUGGGAUGGUCAGCGGAAUGAAUGAGUGAAUGAGUCCAUGAGUUCAAGCACUGGGGCGGGUGGAUGGGUAUUAUCAUUAGUAUUAUUCACUAUGUUAUUCACUUAGUCACUACAGUACGAUGCUCUCUCUCUCUCUCUCUCUUGCUGGCUUCAUUCGCUCCUCCUCUUCUUCGCCUUCCUGAUACUUUGUUCUUUGAAAACGAUGAUGGGCGAUGAAAAUAAUUUGUCACACAAGUAUGCGUACACAUGUAUGGCUACGCACGCAUGCAGCAGACGCACACAUACAUACAGACAUACAUGUACACGCACGCAGGCAGGCAUACGUACAUACAUGAUCUACAAAAAUUAAACCUGGACAAUUAUUAUUUACUAUUAUGUAUUCUUUUUAUUAAUGUUCGGUGUGUAAGGGAAGGGAAGAGGGGGGAAGGGGCGGUAUUUAAAUGACUUUUUUUAUAGGUUUUUAUAUAGAUGUAUAUAUAUAGUAUUUUUUUUAAACCUCAGAGUUGCUUCGCCUCCUCGUUUUCUUAGUUUACUUACGAAUAACAUCACAAAAUACAGACUCGGUGCUGACUCUUGCUAUAUGGGUAGCUGAGGGCAGCAUCUCUUACCUGGGAAAGGCCCCGCCACCACCACCACCACCGCCACCACCACCAUCACAACCAACGCCACCAUCACCACCACCAUGACUUAGCACCAAAUAAUGAAUGAUGACUCUUGAUGUAAUAUUUUGCUUCACCCUCCCCCCCCCUUUCCCUUAGUGUGGUGGUGGUGGUGGUGGUGAUGGAGGAGGAGGAGGAGGAGGAGGAGAAAGGAGAGGAAAAUGGGGACAGCUGAAGGAGGAAAAAGUUUAAGGAGGAAGAUUGAAGGGGUUGAAGAAUGUGGAGUAGAGGAGGAAGAGAAGGAGGAGGAGGAGAAAGGGGAGGAAAAUGGGAGCAAGUGGAGGAGGGAGAAGUCUAAGGGGAAAGAGUGGAGGCUUGAAAGGAGAUGGAGGAGAUGAGCACGAGUGGAAUGGCAGGAGGAGGAGGAGGACUGAGGAAGUGGAGGUAGGUGGAGGAGGAGGCCUAUUUAGGUUGAGAUGCGCCCCUCAGGCCUACUAAAUCUAGGGCAAAGAAGGAUGUAAACACUGUCAGAUGACCAAAGCAGCCCAUGUGCGUUUCCGUCGUGUGCGUGUGUGCGUUUGUGUACGUCAGAAGAAGUAAGUAGCGUCCAUUAACUUGCGAUUGUCCUUUUGCCUUCUCUUUAUCUCGUCUUUCAUCUUUCUUCUGCAUUUGUUUGAUUAUAAUUAUUACUUUCGUCUUCAUUUUUCUUUUUUAUUAUUAUUACUAGUGUUAUUUUCUAUGCCUUGCCAUGCUGGUGUGUGUGUGUGUGUGUGUGUGUGUGUGUGUGUGUGUGUGUGUGUGUGUGUAUGGGGAGGUGGAUGGAUUUUUCAAACUGAAAUUAUAUUGAUGAUUUUGACAACGAUUCCCUUUUUAUUUCUUCCUAUUUUGCUUUUUCCAUUAAUAGUGUUUUAGCCUAAGAUGUGUUUCGGAGGGUAUGCAUAGGGGGAGUCCUUGGGUGUUGCGUUUGUGUUGCGAUGUGCUGUUCAUGUGUUGUGAGUUUGAACUGUGUGAGUGUUGGCUAAAUUUUGAAGUAUAGUUUUCCUUGAGCGUCAAAUACAAGUUUUUUUGGGGGCAUGUUUCUGUGUAUAGUGCUUUAUUUUUUGAUGUUCUGAGUUUUUUCCCAUUACGUUGUGUGUUGUGUGUGGCCAAAAGCUGAUGUUGAGUUUUGUGUUGCGUGGAAAUGUGCAUAAUUAAUUUUCCUGAUAACUGUUUGUGUUGCCGAAUUCCAGUUUUUUGUAAUUUCUUUUCAGUGUUGUUUUGUGAUGUUCUAAGCUUUCGUGACCGUGUUGUGUGUUGCCUAAAGCCGACGUUGAGUUUUGUGUUGCAUGGAGGUGUGGAUAUUUGAUUUUGCUGAUAACUGUUUGUGUUGCCUAAUUCCAGGGUUUUGUAAUUUCUUUUCUGUGUUGUUUUGUGAUGUUCUAAGUUUUCGUGACCGUGUUGUGUGUUGCCUAAAGCCGACGUUGAGUUUUGUGUUGCAUCGAGGUGUGGAUAAUUGAUUUUCCUGAUAACCGUGUAUGUUUGUAAUGUAUUUGAGAUUUUUUAUAGUCCUGGCGUUCAUGUUGUGUGUUGCCUAAAGGUGAUGUUGAGUUUUGUGUUGCGUGGAGGUGUGGAUAAUCAGUGUUCCUGGCCACGAGGUAGUGUUUCUUCUCGGUGUGUUUUCCUAUGAUUAGAAGCGAAGUAUUGGGCCGGAUUAUUAUUGCAAGGGGAUUGGGGAGCUUGUGAAGCCUUGUUUUCGUAUACAUUUGUGGUGUGUGUGUGUGUGUGUGUGUGUGUGUGUGCGCGCAGUCUCACUACUAAUAAAACUCACCUUUCGUAUUACACAAACAUCAGUGGCGGCCCUUUCCUUCUCCUACUACAACUAAAAACACUUCUACUUCUACUACUACUACUACUACUACUACUACUACUACUACUACUACUACUACUACUACUACUACUACUAUUAUUACUCCUACUCCUGUUACAGAAAACGAAGGGAUGGAAGGGUACACUGUGGGGUAAAUAUUUUGAUUUUUUUUCCAAACCUGGCUGUCAGCAACACACAGACAUCAUUAGUUCAAAUUCUGCGAGCCUUCACUCCUUUGGCAGACGCGUAAAAGUAGCAGGGACUUACACUUCACGUUUGUAUAGUUAUUGUACAUCACUCAUACAGCAACUUAUAUCGUAUUUUCACUCUUCUUCAAAACGCUACUCACUUAGUUAAGAUAAAUUCACACGCACAUCAAAUUACUUAAUGACUUUUUGUUUUGUUUAAUUCACUGUUCAUUUACCUUUAUGUCGCCUGGGACUGCUUUGGUCACUCUUAUUAUUGUCUCUAUACAAUAUAUUUCUUUAUCAAAAUAAUUGUUACAUUCUAUACUUGUAGUUUUUCCAGUUAUAAUGAAUGGUGUGUGUGUGUGUGUGUGUGUGUGUGUGUGUG